rnacentral:rRNA from 1 species
GAUGAACGCUGGCGGCGUGCCUAAUACAUGCAAGUCGAGCGAACGGACGAGAAGCUUGCUUCUCUGAUGUUAGCGGCGGACGGGUGAGUAACACGUGGAUAACCUACCUAUAAGACUGGGAUAACUUCGGGAAACCGGAGCUAAUACCGGAUAAUAUUUUGAACCGCAUGGUUCAAAAGUGAAAGACGGUCUUGCUGUCACUUAUAGAUGGAUCCGCGCUGCAUUAGCUAGUUGGUAAGGUAACGGCUUACCAAGGCAACGAUGCAUAGCCGACCUGAGAGGGUGAUCGGCCACACUGGGACUGAGACACGGUCCAGACUCCUACGGGAGGCAGCAGUAGGGAAUCUUCCGCAAUGGGCGAAAGCCUGACGGAGCAACGCCGCGUGAGUGAUGAAGGUCUUCGGAUCGUAAAACUCUGUUAUUAGGGAAGAACAUAUGUGUAAGUAACUGUGCACAUCUUGACGAUACCUAAUCAGAAAGCCACGGCUAACUACGUG